GGAUGAAUAACUCAAUGGUAGAGUGCCUGUCUGAAGAGCUGGUAGUGCAAGUUCGAAUCUUGCUUCGUCCA
rnacentral:tRNA from 1 species